rnacentral:rRNA from 1 species
CCUACGGGUGGCAGCAGUGAGGAAUAUUGGUCAAUGGACGAGAGUCUGAACCAGCCAAGUAGCGUGAAGGAUGACUGCCCUAUGGGUUGUAAACUUCUUUUAUAUGGGAAUAAAACGUUCCACGUGUGGGAUUUUGUAUGUACCAUAUGAAUAAGGAUCGGCUAACUCCGUGCCAGCAGCCGCGGUAAUACGGAGGAUCCGAGCGUUAUCCGGAUUUAUUGGGUUUAAAUGGAGCGUAGGUGGAUUGUUAAGUCAGUUGUGAAAGUUUGCGGCUCAACCGUAAAAUUGCAGUUGAAACUGGCAGUCUUGAGUACAGUAGAGGUGGGCGGAAUUCGUGGUGUAGCGGUGAAAUGCUUAGAUAUCACGAAGAACUCCGAUUGCGAAGGCAGUUCACUGGACUGCAACUGACACUGAGGCUCGAAAGUGUGGGUAUCAAACAGGAUUAGAUACCCUUGUAGUC